GCGUUCGAGCGAUCGCUGCACUCUCGAUUCGUCGAAGUAGUGCAGAGGAAAGUCCAUGCUCGCACAGUCUGAAAUGUCUGUAGUGUUCGUGCCUGACGAAACAAUAAGUCAGGGUAGGUGAAAGCCUAACGGCAGAGAAAUGACCUACGUCCAAAUUGGAUAUGGUUCUUAUGCUCUUGAAAGUGCCACAGUGACGGAGUCCAUUUGGAAACAAAUGGAGUGGAACGAGGUAAACCCCACGAGCGAGAAACCCAAAUUAUGGUAGGGGCGCUCUCCAGAAGGAAAAAAACAGACGGAGAGGCAUCGGUUGACCGAUGCAGAUAGAUGAUCGCUGCUACAGCACGAGGGUUGUACCCGUUUGCAGUGCUUUAGAACAGAACAUGGCUUACAGGA
rnacentral:RNase_P_RNA from 1 species